rnacentral:rRNA from 1 species
AGUGAACGCUGGCGGUAUGCUUAACACAUGCAAGUCGAACGGCAGCACAGUACUAGCUUGCUCUUACGGGUGGCGAGUGGCGGACGGGUGAGGAAUACAUCGGAAUCUACUUUUUCGUGGGGGAUAACGUAGGUAAAGUUACUCCAAUACCGCAUACGCCCCACGAGUGUAAGCAGGGGAUAUUCGGACCUUGUGCGAUUGGAUGCGCCGAUGUCGGGUUAGCUAGUUGGCGGGGUAAAGGCCCACCAAGGCGACGAUCCGCAGCUGGUGGGAGUGGAUGGUAGGCCACACUGGAGCUGGAACACGGUCCAGACUCCUGCGGGAGGCAGCAGAGGGGAAUAUUAGACAGUGGGCGCAAACCUGAUCCAGCCAUACCGCGUGGGUGAAAAAGACCUUCGGGUUGUAAAGCCCUUUUGUUGGGAAAAAAAAGCAUCAGGUUAAUACCCCGCUGUUCUGACGGUAACCAAAGAAUAAGCACCGGCUAACUUCGUG